UCUGGUGGUGGUUGUUUGGUUAAUGAAAACGUGUUAAUCACGUUAACGGGAGGUGAGUCAUCAGAAGAGCCAGCUUGCUCUCUGUCCACCAGGCGAGACGCCAGCAGUCGGCACUACGAGGCCCUUGCAGAGGCCUGGCGGAGGCUCGGGCCUCCCGGCCUCCAGAAUGGAGAAGGAACAAGCGCUUGUGGGCCCGGGGCUCUGCUCCUGCGGCCCGAGCCAAGCGGCUGCACGGAUCCUCGUACAAGUGUCUUGCGAGCGUGUCUUUUCAUUCCUCUCCGUAAAAACCUAAGGGAGCCGUCGCCGGGUGAUGAGGCUUUGUGCAGGCCUGCAGCAUGUGUGCGGCCGGAGCGGCGUAGGUGCCACCUCCUCCGGGACGGCCGUCCGCACAGGCGCCCCCUGCCCGCUUCCCUUGGGAGGAGGAGAAACCACGGAGCACACGGCACCUGCGGUCCUUCCAUGGGUCUCAACGCGGCCUCCUGCCCACGAGAUGUUAUUUAUUUACUCAUGAGAGACACCGAGAGAGAGGCAGAGUCACAGGCAGAGGGAGAAGCAGGCUCCAUGAGGGGAGCCCGACGUGGGACUCGAUCCCGCAUCCCCAGGGUCACGCCUCAGGCUGAAGGCAGGCGCUAGACCGCUGAGCCACCCGGGGAUCUCUCAUCUUCGCUUUCUGGGUAAGAAAAGUGGUGUCCAUUGGAUGAAGGAGCGGAAGACCCCCCCCUUCCUCUCUCAGCCAGGUGACCACUCUGCCUCCCGGGACGGGGCCCCACAGCCCACCUUGAGCUCAGGGCGAACCAGCAGAUGCGCCGUCUGGCCAACCCGGGUUUUCUGAACACCGCGUGCUACCCAGCAGCUAGAAAUAGGCCCAGUGGCGUGGGCGCCAAGGAGGGAGACACUGGCUGAGACGUGACUCAUCUACAGCUCUCGGAUGCCAGCACUUCUAGAAACAGCGGGAUCAGGCCCCAGGGACUCAGCUGAGGAGGCUUGGCGGCGGGGAUUCGAGAUUCGGGGCUCUCUGACACCGGAAGCAUGGGGUCACUCGGCAGCAGGAGCAGGGCCCCCGCCCACGGGGCCUAGCUGGGAGAUCCGGGUCACUCCCGUGUGGGCUGCUGGGGCGCCGGGCCCCUCGGCCCUCCGCUUCCAGGACUGUCACCAGCGAUGGAAAUGCUGGGGCUCCCGGGCUCUGUUCCACCCAACAGCCCCAUGCAGCAGCCAGCUGCCUGCCCCCCACCCCCACCCCCUGCCUGCUGGCCCGUCCCUGCAGCGCCCUCCCUGCCCUGAAGAUGGGGCUCCCUCCCAUCCCAGCCUCCCCCACCCAGUCUGGGCCAGGGCAGGGCUCCGACGGAGAGGACCGGUGAUUAAAGCAAAACAUUUAAAGUCUCUUAAAAAAAUUCAAAAAAGUGAUUAAUCUUAGCAAUAGAAGAGGAUGGGGGAGCAGGGUCCU